GAUGAACGCUGGCGGCGUGCCUAAUACAUGCAAGUCGAGCGAACGGACGAGAAGCUUGCUUCUCUGAUGUUAGCGGCGGACGGGUGAGUAACACGUGGAUAACCUACCUAUAAGACUGGGAUAACUUCGGGAAACCGGAGCUAAUACCGGAUAAUAUUUUGAACCGCAUGGUUCAAAAGUGAAAGACGGUCUUGCUGCCACUUAUAGAUGGAUCCGCGCUGCAUUAGCUAGUUGGUAAGGUAACGGCUUACCAAGGCAACGAUGCAUAGCCGACCUGAGAGGGUGAUCGGCCACACUGGAACUGAGACACGGUCCAGACUCCUACGGGAGGCAGCAGUAGGGAAUCUUCCGCAAUGGGCGAAAGCCUGACGGAGCAACGCCGCGCGAGUGAUGAAGGUCUUCGGAUCGUAAAACUCUGUUAUUAGGGAAGAACAUAUGUGUAAGUAACUGUGCACAUCUUGACGGUACCUAAUCAGAAAGCCACGGCUAACUACGUG
rnacentral:rRNA from 1 species